GACGAACGCUGGCGGCGUGCUUAACACAUGCAAGUCGAACGGAAAGGCCCUGCUUUUUUGGUGUUCUCGAGUGGCGAACGGGUGAGUAACACGUGAGUAACCUGCCCUUGACUUUGGUAUAACUUCAGGUAACUGGGGCUAAUACCGGAUAGGAUCUCCUGCUGCAUGGUGGGGGUUGGAAAUUUUCGGCGGUUGGGGAUGGACUCGCGGCUUAUCAGCUUGUUGGUGGGGUAGUGGCUUACCAAGGCUUUGACGGGUAGCCGGCCUGGGAGGGUGACCGGCGACAUUGGGACUGAGAUAGGGACCAGACUCCUACGGGAGGCAGCAGUGGGAAAUAUGGCACAAUGGGCGGAAGCGUGAUGAAGAAACGCCGCGUGCGGGAUGACGGCCUUCGGGUUGUAAACCGCUUUCGCCUGUGACGAAGCGGGAGUGACGGUAAUGGGUAAAGAAGCACCGGCUAACUACGUG
rnacentral:rRNA from 1 species